rnacentral:misc_RNA from 1 species
CCGAGUUAGGGUCCUCUGGGCCCGACCUCCCACCCUUUGUCUACCUUACCUUUUGUUGCUUCGGCGGGCCCGUCCCCCCUGCAAAGGGGGCGACCGCCGGAGGGUUCACGCCCUCUUGGCCCGCGCCCGCCGGUGGCCCUUAACCAAAACUCUUGUCGAACCGUGUCGUCUGAGUGAAGAAAUAAUAACCAA